UAAUUUUCUCUUCUUCAAUUGUAUCAGAAAAGAAGGAAAAUUGAAAUCUAUGGGAAAGAAAUCCUCUUCUUCCUCUUCCUCUGUUCUUCUAUCGAGCUCUAAGAACAAGAAUGGUUGGAUUCGCUCCAAUCGACUUGUUCUUCUUAUCGUUGGAUUCGUUUCUCUUACUUGCUUCCUUUUGGACCGCCAAUCUCUUGCACGAGACCACCAGGUGGAGGUUUCGAUGUUGAAUGAAGAAUUGGCAGAAUUACGCAGUCAGCUUGAGGAUUUAAGGACGCAACUCAAAGGUUCAGGGAUAGAGUUUCCCAUUAAUGAUAAGAAGCGGAAAAUGGAGGAGGAUGAUCCUAUUAGUUUUGAACGAAGAGAGAAAGUGAAAGAGGCUAUGCUUCAUGCUUGGACUUGCUAUGAGAAGUACGCAUGGGGUCAUGAUGACCCCCAGCCACAAACACGGAAUGGUAUUGAUAGCUUUGGUGGUCUUGGUGCAACUUUGAUAGACUCUCUUGAUACAUUAUUCAUAAUGGGUCUUCAUGAAGAGUUUCAAAGAGCUAGAGAGUGGGUUGCAAACUCGUUGGACUUCAACAAAAAUUACGAGGCUAGUGUCUUUGAGACAACCAUAAGAGUUGUAGGAGGGCUUCUUAGUGCGUACGACCUCUCUGGUGACAAAAUUUUUCUUGAAAAGGCUAGAGAUAUUGCAGAUAGGCUGCUGCCUGCAUGGAAUACACCUUCAGGAAUUCCUUAUAACACAAUCAACUUAGCGCAUGGGAAUCCGCACAACCCUAGGUGGACAGGGGGAAGUAGUAUCCUGGCAGAUUCUGCAACAGAGCAGCUGGAAUUUAUCGCCUUAUCUCAAAGGACAAAAGACCCCAAGUACCAGCAGAGGGUGGAGAAUGUUAUCAAAGAGCUUCACAAAAACUUUCCUGC
rnacentral:misc_RNA from 1 species